rnacentral:misc_RNA from 1 species
GAUUUUUGUUACUAAAAUUCUGCUGUCUGCAGUGCUAUAUAUGGUCAUUUGUUUUCUUGUUUCUUAUACCUUCUUUAUCCUGGUCUAUUUAUAUUGGGGAUGAUGAUCGUUUCAAAUGAUAUCAUCAAUAUCUGGUUGCGUUGGUCUAGAUUGUUCCUUCGUGGUAUUGUUUCUAGAAUUCCAUUUUAGUAAACUCUAAUCUGGUAAUUAAUUGCUAUAAAUUGCAUGCAGUCUUAUCUAUAUGUUUGUUAUGGUAGUGCAUAUGGAAUGUUAACAGCAAUUGAAAUCCCUGUUACUAUAUUUUGGGUAGGGGUGAGCAAUAAACAGUUUUAACCGGAAAAAAGAACCGAUUUGGAUCGGUUUUUUGGUUUAUGCUUUUUAUAAUUUUUGGUUUUUGGAUUGGUUAUUUUAGUAAAAAACUGACCGAUUAAAUGUACUUGGGACUGUUAUUUUUUUAAUCCCUUAGGCCUAUUUUGUCCUCAGCCCAAUAACCCUUAUAACAUCCGUUAGUCGUUGACCAUAACCUUAAGCCCAGAGAAUGUAUCUUCUUCUUCCCUGUUCCCAUCAACUUCUUAAGUUCCCCUCUCUUCUUCUUCUUCUUA